AGGACGAACGCUGGCGGCGUGCUUAACACAUGCAAGUCGAACGGAAAGGCCCUUCGGGGUACUCGAGUGGCGAACGGGUGAGUAACACGUGGGCAACCUGCCCCUAGCUCUGGGAUAACUCCGGGAAACCGGUGCUAAUACCGGAUACACACUUUUUGAGGCAUCUCUCGAAGUGGAAAGUUUUUCGGCUAGGGAUGGGCCCGCGGCCUAUCAGCUUGUUGGUGGGGUAAUGGCCUACCAAGGCGACGACGGGUAG
rnacentral:rRNA from 1 species